rnacentral:rRNA from 1 species
UACGUAGGGGGCAAGCGUUAUCCGGAUUUACUGGGUGUAAAGGGAGCGUAGACGGUACGCCAAGUCUGAAGUGAAAUGCCGCAGCUUAACUGCGGAACUGCUUUGGAAACUGGCGGGCUAGAGUGCGGGAGGGGUAAGCGGAAUUCCUAGUGUAGCGGUGAAAUGCUUAGGUAUCGCGCAGAACCCCGAUAGCGAAGGCAGCUUACCAGACUGUUACUGACGCUGAAGCACGAGAGCGUGGGUAGCGAACAGG